CACGAUGAAGGGCUCUCCUUCCCAGCACAGCCGAGCAGCUGAGGCCGGGCCCUCUGGAGGCCGAGGGGGUGGGCGGAAGCCCCGUGAGGAUGAGGGGGCCGACCCCAGGCCUCCCGCCGCGUGAGCUUGCGGCCAGCAUAGCACGACACUGGCGGGCGUCAGCACGCAUCUAAGGACUGGUUACGGGUCGAAGGGUUGAACGGCCUUCCAAGAGGAUGUGCCCAGCACCUGUGAAUGCGACCUCAUUUGGAAAGAAUCUUUCCAAUGUGAUCAAGUUAAAUUGAGGUCUUACUGUCACACUAAAUCCCCGAAACCAGACACGGCAGGGGAUGAAGGUUGCUAAUCGGCUGACCUCAGAAUAAGAUGAUCCUGGCGAUCUGGCAGGCCCAGCGCCACCACCGUGCCCGUCAUCAGAUGAGAAAGGGAGGGGACACAGAGAGGUAGAGGUGACGUGAUGACGCAGGCAGAGACGGGGGCAAUGCAGCCACCAGCCCAGGACAACGAGGAUGCUGGAAACUCCAGGAGCGGGAGGAGGCCCGGCCCAGAUUCGCCUCGGAGCCCGCAGGAGGACCCAGCCCUGCAACCCCUGAUCCCCGAGUUCUGGCCUCCAGGCUGUGAGAGGAUAAAGUCUGCUGUAUCCAGCCCCCGGUUUGUGGUUACUUGUUGCAGCUGCCCAAGGUGACCAGCCCAGCUGGAUGGCGGGUGAGAGCUGGGUGGAGAGCAGGUACGGUAAAUGGUGCAGCUGCGUCUGGACGAUGGGCUGUGGGUCUGCACUGGAACGUUCUUUCGGCUUCCCCGUGUGUUCAAAAAUUUUUCAUGACAAAAUGUUGGGGAAGAAAUGAAAUGUUAGCAAAAUAAAAACCUGUCUCUCCCCACCACCACUUAACAAAAUCUGAACAAAUGUUUAAAGACUAGCAGUCUGAAGGGCAGCUGAGCUCUGGCCAGCGGAUCCAGGCCACCCAGAUGUCCCCGUGCUACCUGCGCAGAGGCCUUCCCCUCCCCGUCUCCACCUCAGCUUGGCCUCCCACUCCUGCACCCCAGCCCUGCCUGACCUCCAUCGGGUCACCCGUCCUGGCGAGGCCUUAGCAGGAGGACCCUAUUUCUCGCCAACGUGUGAGGCUGGACUUUCUAGGGACGGAGGGCGGGGCCACGUCCUGCUCCGCCCAUGACGGCCACCCCGAGAGCCCUGGAGCAGGACAACCCCAUGGGAGCAGGGCCUCUCCGUGCCUGGGCUCUGCCUGCUGCCAGCGCCCAGGACAGGGCCUGACCCACAGGCCACAGUCAGCACGUGCCCAUUCAAGUGACAAGUGAACGAGAGCGUCAGCCACCAGCCCGCAGUUGCCUCUGUCCUGGGGACGCCGUGGUGGACACGAGGGCUCUCACGGCCAUUUAGGUGAGUCCCUGUCUCGGCAGAGAAAAUAUCUCUUAGCUCUUUUCAUGUCAUUGCCGUUGUUAUUCAAGCAGAAGAAAUAUGACCAGCCACCAGCUGGACGCUGGCCUCCUGCCCGCCGCCCCAAGGAGCCGGUGGGCCUCCACCAAGAGCGGCCCUGGUCCUGUCCCCGCCCCUUUGCGAUACGGCCUGGAAGCAGGACACGAGCCUCAGUUUGGACCUCAGCACCACAACCUCUUGCUGAGCAAUCUCAGGCAAGUCGCUUUGCCUCUCUGGCCCUCAUCUUCGUCGUGAAAUGGAUACAGCGCCAGCAGCCUCGGAGGCGACCUGAGAGCCAGGGGCGCAAUGCGGGUGAAGUGCCACAGAGAGCCUGCAACCCGCUGAGCGGCACUGCUGUUGCCGGUGCUUGGAUGGCCACCUGGCGUUAGACGUUUGCUCCUGGAACGAAGUCCGUGUUGGGGUGAAGGAGGGGAAAUCCCUGUCAAGAGGCAGGCCACGCCCACACAGACAGAUCCAGGUCUUAUUCCCGGGGCCCUGGGUAAGUACGCAAGACGCCUGGGAGGGGCCUGCACCCCGGAGAGGAAAAGGGCGGGAGGAGGGCUGGGCAGAGCGAGAAGUCCAGCUGGGUGCAGGUCAGAGCCGGGAGGGACGGGGCCACGAGCGCAGGGCACCUGGGGCCACCAGGAGCUGCAAGAGGCAGGAAGGAUCCUCCCCUGGAGCCUCUGGAAGGAGCGCGGCCCCGCGCACACCUUGACUUCAGACUUCGGGCUUCCAGAAUGGUAAGAGAAUGCACUCCUGUGGUUUCUGGUUUGUGGUGCCUUGUUACAGCAGCCCCAGGAAGCAAGUACGACACCCCAAACCUGCCCCUCCCACGGCGUCCCCCCCUUGAGAGACGACUGCUCCUCCCUGGUUUCUGAGGUCGAUAGGAGGGCCUUCGCGCCUUCCCAUAUUCCCGUCCUCCCGGCCACGUCCAGCGCAUCGGCGCGUGCUGGCGCGUCCCCGGCAGCUGGGUGCCGGUGCGCGCGGUGGGCCAGGGACAUGGUCUCGGAGCUAGUGCAUCCGACCAGGACGAGAAGGACUCGUAUCCAGACGCACGGCCCCAGCCCCGCCUCUGCUGCCUAGGUUUGCGGUGGCUUUAGCCGGCCUCCCGCUUGUAUUCAUUCAUUCAUUCAUUCUAGGAAUGGGCUCACGUGAUUACGGAGCUGGGAAGUCCCACAACCUGCCGCCUGCAGGCCGGCGGCUCAGCACAGCCGGUGGGGUAGAUCAGCCCGCGUUCUGAGGCCUGAGAGCCAGAGGAGCCGACGGGUGAAGGCCGGUCCGAGGGCAGGAGGAGGUGGGACAGCUGUCCCUCAUCCCCAGUGAGGCGGGAGGAAGGGGCGCGUCCUCCUGCCUGCACGCUGGGCGCUAUCCGGGCCCCUCCGGAGUGGAGAGGCCCUACGCCGGCGAGGGCUCUGCGGCAGGGGCCCCCCUCGGAGGCUCAUCUCGCCCGGAAACGCCCUCGCUGACCCUGAGCGGUGCUGGGUGUGGGCUCCAGCGGCCCGGCGAGCUGACACACGAGGCGCUGUCUCCGCCUCUCCUGCCUCCCGGGUCUCACCCCUCCCCGGCGCCCGUUUGGCUCAGAGGCGGCGUCACAGCAGCGAUAGGUGACGGGCCUGCGCACACGCCCCGCUGCUUCCCCGCCGGGCAGCCCGCUCGCCCCGCUGACCUUCCCCGGGCAUCACGUGGCUCGCUCCCUCACCCCCUCCAGUUGAGGCACCUUCUCAGCCGGCCCUGCUCUGCCCUCUGAAUACCCUCGUUCCCUACCCUCUUCCUGCUGUAUUUCUCUGUGUGACACCGGACAGGACACACAGCAGGCCAGCUGCGUCCCGGGCCCAGAACACCAGCACACAGCGGGCACCCAAGCCGUGCCACCCGAGGGAGUGAGCUGGAGCCCAAGGCGCAGCACUGGGGCAGCGCGGAAGCCCCCGCCACGUGGCCACUUAGUGUGCCCCCGCCCCCGCCCUGGCCCGGAGCACAGCGACGGGACCCAGAUGGCACUGUUGGAGGCCGUAGCCAUGAGGCUCUGCCUCGUGGAAGGACUCCGUGUGGCAGGUAGCACGUCUGACCCCACCUCGGGGAUUCUCAGCCUGUUCCAACCAGAGACGCCCGUGAAAGCAAGCCAGCUUUGCGGAGGGUGUAGGGCUAACCACCCCCGAGACUGAGGGCCGGCCUUUGUCCGGCUCCAGGAGGGGCCCGAGGCCCCGGGCGUCCUGAUGGGAGCGCCGUCUGCGGGGCCGCGGCCCGUCAGGGUCACCGAGGGGGUCACGCGGGGCUUUGGGCUGAGUGGCCCCCGCGCCCCCUCUGGAGGGGCCGGACCCUGGGGGCAGCCAUGUGGGUCCCACAGCCCCGGUAAAAACGGGACGCCGAAGCGGGGAGCCCCCGGCUGGCAGCAGCCCGUGCGUGUGCUGUCACACGUCAGGGCCCACGGGGAAGACACCGGACGCUCGUGGUCGGGCAUCUCCUGGGUCUGCCCUGCGCCCUUCCCUUGGCCGAGGCUACUUCACGCCCCCUCCCUGCAGUGAGCCAGGGCCGUGAGAACAGAGCCCUGCGGGGGCUCGGGUAGUCCUCCUGGGGGCUUGUCCACCCCGAGGGGAUCUCAGGGGCCUUGGGCUUGUCGUCGGCGUCAGAAGCAGGGGUCUCGUGUGCACUGGGCUCCCCCUAACUUUGAGGGUGGCUAACGCUCACACAACAGCCAGCACAACUGCUUCCAAAACUCACACGGGGGCACCUUCUGUGCUCUGUCUUGCUGCAUCCCAGCAAUGAGAAGAGAGCCUGACACAGAGCAGGUGCUUAAUCAAUAUCGGUUGGAAUCAGUCAAUUGCCCGGUUGGAUGUGAGGGUGGGGGAGAAGCAGGGGUGCCUUGCAGAUUCCAGGAGCGCUGUCUGGGUCUGAGGACCCAGGCACUGGGUCACAGUGACAGAGAGAAAGGCCAGGGGGCGGGUUGACCCCUCUGCUAGCACCUGGCCCCUUGCUGCUUCCCAGGGAAAGCGUUGGCGCUGUGAGAGUCGGAGAUGACCUUCCGUCGCGUCUAUGUGGACGGCAGGUCCUCCCAGGCUGCAGGGGCUUCCUGCUCCUGCUUCAGGGCUCCGUCCCGUCCUGGAGCGCCAGGUGGCCUUUGACGAGCCAAGGGUCCCUCAGUGCACGCUCUGACCUUGACCCAGGCCGCAGUUCACACCCAGGUCACACGUGCUGAGCCCACUGGGUGCUGGGCCGUCCACUCAUCUGCCCCUCACCCAGUGGUGGCCGCGUGCGCGUGCUAUCCCCACUGCCACAGCAGGGUCCGCUCCGCAGGCCUUCCCCCAGGCCUCUAGUUGAUGCCCGCCCCGCCCCUGGCCUCCCUUUUAACUGUGACCUAAGCCCCCUGGGCCCUGUCUUUGCCAGCCCUCACCAGCGACCGUCACCCACCUGACUCACCUAUUGUGUCUCACUGGGGUAAGGAUUGGGGCCUGACUGCAGGCAGCCCUCAAGAGCAGGGCCAGCCAGCUGCCUGGGGCGCCUGCCGACUCCUCGACCCCUUGGCCCCCGUGAGACCCGCAUCGGGCUCCUGGCCUCCAGACCCAGGGAGUGCCUCUGGCACAGCCCUCCCUCCGGCAGCCAGGAAACCGCACGCCCAGUGACAGUUGUGAGAACACAUUCAUCUCACAGGCUUUGCCAAAAUCAAUCUGUUUGAACAACAACCCUCUGACAGAGCCCUGAGGUGGGGGGACAGACGGAAGCAGCUGUCACCAACAGCUGGUGGGUGCCAGGAGCCUCCCCCAGGGCCUCCCCGCAGCCCCAGAGUGGCCCUGGGCCAUCCCCACUCUCUGGCUACAUCCCUGCUUCUACCCGACUAUGGUCGCCUGGAGGCUGUGGGGUGGAGAAGGAUUGCAUUUGUUAGAUGAGUAACGUGGCUGAUUAAAUUUGCCGGGCAGGCUCCUGGCACACCACGCCGUCUCUCCCUGGUGGGCACAGCAUCUGUUUGAGGUAGUUAAAAAGACGGUGAUUGAAACAUCCUGAGGGCUAGAUCCAGCCAUGAGAGAGCGCAGCCCCCAAGGACAAAAUCCUGGCCCCAUCGCUUAGGCUCCAGACCCCCCAAGGGGGGGCGGGGAAUUAAAGCCCAGGAACAGAAACAGGCGUCUAGCAGCUCCGGGGUACUGAGAACGGGGGCAGGUCAUCCAUCUGUGCCUCUCCUGGAAUUUCCCUGCCCCACACUUCACCAUCCUGCUGUGGGCCCGGAGAGGGCAAGUCAGGGGCUCCCUGCCCUCUGACCACCACUGAGUCCAGCCCAGGGAGCGCCCACAGGAGAGCAGGGCCAGGGGCAAGAGAGGGAGGGCCCCUAGCUGCGGCCCUUGACCUACCUGGACCACAGCUCCUGCGGGCACCCUGCCCACGUAGGGUCCCCUCCUCUCUCCCUCUCCGUGCGUCUGUCUCACUCCCUUGGUUCCCACGUCUGUCCCCCCGCUCCGCCCUUCAGCCCCAGGUGGGACGGCUCCUCCUGUGCCAGUACUGCCCCACCUGUGGACGCCCACACCCCAAACACACCUGUGUCCCUUUGCAACACGGCAACUGUACUUCCUGUAAAAAAAAAAAAAAAAAAAAAGUUUGGUAGCUGCCCUAGAGUUUGCAACGUACAUUCACAACCCAUCCAAGUCCACUUCCAGUAACAUGGUCGGUCUCCACAGGCAUGUCAGCACCUUCAGGGAACACUGCUCUGUUCACAUCCCCAUAAGCUAUAAUCACCCGAUACAUUGUGCUGGUAUCAUUUUGAGGAAACUGUUACGUUAGGACGAUUAGAAUAAGAAAAAGCGAAGAUUUUAUUCUGCCUUCAUUUAUUCCUUCUCCAGCUCUCUUCUCUUCUGCAGACCUGAGUUCUGGCCUAAAUCAUUCUCCGUCUGCCUGAAGGCCGUCGUCCAGCAUUUCUUUCGAGGCAGGUUCCUGGCGCCUGUCUCUUUUCUAUACCUUCCUCAAAGGGCCCAGGUGGAGGGUGCCUGACUCAUUCCAUUUCAUUUAAACCUACGAUUUUCAACAACCCUAUGACAUGGGCAUGAUUUUUCAUAUCCUACAGGUGAGGAAACUGAGGCCCAGAUUGCUGUGUGCACGGCGUUGGAGGUCAUUCACCCACACAAUGACUUUAAAGCCAGGCUCUGAACCACUGCACCUGCGCCCAGGAGACUCUGCGGGAUGGGUGAGAGAUGAGUUUCAGUUGGUCCAGCCCUGCCUGGCCCUCCUGGGAGCCCCCGGCCUCCUUCCACCUCCUGCCAGCCGUGUCGCUAACGCCGCUGUGGGCCACACCCUCAAGCCUAGCUUCUUCCCUCAUCAGGAUGCAGGACACGGCCUCGUGUCUUCUGAGAGGCUCGUGAAGUGCCUGCCCAGCUGCCAGCUGGCCCAGUUGUUGCCAUGGAAAAGCCCAGAGUGUGUGGGCCGCCUGGCAGCCCGACACCCGCUCCCCUGGGACCCCCCGGCCAGGCUGCUGGCCCAGUGCCCAGAGCACACACGUGGCUGGGGGCCUGCUCCCGGCGGGCCUCACUGAGGACAGCCAGGGGCCUUCCCUGGGAGGGACAGGCGACGCCGGGCCCCUCUGCAUCCGUCAGGGCCAGGGGAGCCCCACUGAGCGGGACAGGGCUCUUUCUGCCUGCCCACCUCCCUCCCCCUUUCUGCUAAUGGCACCCCAGCCUGCUUUGAGGGGCAGCCUCCCCAUGUGAGUACAGACUCGGGGCCCCACCCUCACCUUGGUCGAACCCAGGUCUGGCCAGUCAGCAGGUGUCACUCCCCCUACCUCUGUCCGUGUCACACAGGUUGGUCCAGGGCUGGGCAGGUAACCUUAGUCAAACCAGUGAGACUCCUGGAUACGUGCAAACACCUAGCAAAGGCGAAUGGCUGAGCACAGAGCCAGGGAGACUCAGAUGUGUCGGCCUGGGUUGACCUCUGGUUCAAGCCAUACCUGAAACCAGUAUCCCUGGCAUCUCCAAUUGCCUGAGGUAGCACAGUUCCAUUUUUAUGCAUGCCUGAUUGGGUUAGGUUUUUGUCACUUUGGGGAGAGCCCUCACUAACACUCUUUGGGUCCUAAAAAGAUCCCUACAGGGAGGCUGCAUCCUGGCUCCACCCUGACCCACCCUGUGUGCCUUUGAACGAAUCACCCCCCAGGAGCUCUGGUCUCUAUGUCAUGGGGCCUGGGCGCUCACAAUGGCCCCUCAGGCUGAGCAUCCUCCACCCUGUGCCAUCAGGAGGACGUCAAAAGAAUUUCCUUGUGACGUCAGCCUUUCCCCAUCUUCAGAAAAAUGUCAGGGCACCCAGGGAAGCAAGAAGGGCUGAGCGUUAUCUCUUUAACAGAGGUUUGAGCUGCCUGCCUCGCUGGAGCAAGAAGAGACUUGUCUGUGCGUAGCCAGCCAGGAGGUUCCUUCUUGUGUCCACCCUUGUGUUCCAACUUGUGCCCAGCUAUUUGCCCUGGGACUCAUUCCUUGCCCAUUCCUGACCCUGCAGGUGGAGCCUCCCAGGCUGCCUUCUGUCUGGGCUCAGCCAGAAGGAGCCUUGGGUGGGAGACUGUGUGUCCAUCACCCUGGAUAGGAACCCAUGGCCCUCAGCACUUCCUGCAAGACCUGGAGUGGGUGUUCCAAGUGGGGCUCAAGGGACUGGGAAGGAGUCACUCCACAUCCAACUCUGCCUUCUUGGAGGAAAAUUCCACAACUUACCCCAACUGUGAGCAAGUCCUCAUGUCCCCCCAGCACAUCACAUCUAUGAGUAGUGACACUGCAAAGAAAGUGAGCCUGAAGUCCUUCAGCAAAGGCUUGAUAUUUCCAAUGUGCUCCCCUGACUCUCCCCAUGCAGGCGAAGCACUCUUGCCUGACAUCUGGGCUGGAGGCCCCAGUGCCGGAGAAAUCUUCUCUGCCUCCCUCACCACUACCGCCACCUCCGUCCCCACUUUCACUCUCAGGAUGUUGAUGAUGGUGGUGGAGGCGAUGAGGAGGAGGAGGAGGAGGAGGAAGAUGGUGAAACAGGAGCAGCAACCCCAGGACCACAGGGAAGUCCGACCCCCAACCCCAGCCUUAUGACAAAUCAUAUUUGGUCGAAGACAGUCAUUAGUAAAUCCACCCCCCUUUGCCAGAUUUUCACUUUCCCAGCUUCCUUUACAACAGUUAAUGGCCGUGAGACACACUAUUCUGGUGAUGAGAACUCCUGGGACUUGGCAUCACUGUUGCUUUCCUCUCCUCACGGGGUGCUGGAGGGAGGCCAUGAUGGCUGGAACCGCAGCAAUCAUGUCGUAUCAAUAAAACAUCAAGUAAGAUAAAUAAAAGCCAACGCUGUAAGUAACGUUCUAUUUCUUGAUUGUUACACGGGUGACACGGAACACAUAACAUUUUAUGAGAAUGCGUUGAGCCCUGCACUUUUCCAGCUGGAGACAAUGAAGAAUUGCAAUUAAGAAUGGCAACCUGGGGCUUCCCGGGUGGCGCAGCGGUUGAGAGUCCGCCUGCCGAUGCAGGGGACGCGGGUUCGCGCCCCGGUCCGGGAGGAUCCCACAUGCCGCGGAGCGGCUGGGCCCGUGAGCCGUGGCCGCUGAGCCUGCGCGUCCGGAGCCUGUGCUCCGC